rnacentral:rRNA from 1 species
GACGAACGCUGGCGGCGUGCUUAACACAUGCAAGUCGAACGGUAAGGCCCUUCGGGGUACACGAGUGGCGAACGGGUGAGUGACACGUGGGUGAUCUGCCCUGCACUUCGGGAUAAGCCUGGGAAACUGGGUCUAAUACCGGAUAGGACUCCGGACUGCAUGGUCUGGGGUGGAAAGCUUUUGCGGUGUGGGAUGGGCCCGCGGCCUAUCAGCUUGUUGGUGGGGUGAUGGCCUACCAAGGCGACGACGGGUAGCCGGCCUGAGAGGGUGACCGGCCACACUGGGACUGAGAUACGGCCCAGACUCCUACGGGAGGCAGCAGUGGGGAAUAUUGCACAAUGGGCGCAAGCCUGAUGCAGCGACGCCGCGUGAGGGAUGACGGCCUUCGGGUUGUAAACCUCUUUCAGCAUCGACGAAGCGAAAGUGACGGCAGGUGCAGAAGAAGGACCGGCCAACUACGUGCCAGCCGCCGCGGUAA